GAGAAUUUUCAAAAUAUUGUGAAUGCUUGUAACAGAUUUUGAAAAGUUAUUUUCCUCGUUAAGAAAAAUCUUAAUCAGAAUGAUCAUUAUUCUGUAAAAAUCAGCCCGGCAAAUAGUAACACUAAACAAAGGCAGUGUUCUCUCCAUGAAUGCAAUGGAAGCGGUUAAAAAUAGUUGUCGACUGUGUUUGGAUCCGACUGUAAACAAAGCUUCCGAUUCUGCUUCUACCUCUGAAAACGGCAGCACCAUUGAAGCAGCUCCACUCAACAAAAAAUUGAGCAGUGUGUUCAAUUUUACAUUCGACAAAAUGACCCAACUGCCGAAUUAUGUGUGCAAGCAGUGCUGCACGAUUGUAGGAGAUUUCUACCGGUUUUCGGAGAUGGUACAACAAAACCAGAAAUAUCUGCGCUCGCUGAUUGUGCCCGAUAGUGAAGUGAAACUGGAUCCAAGCGGCGAAGAGGAUCAUAGUGACAAUAAGAGCGCUUUGAUUCUCGAGGUGAAGAUUGAACCGGAGGUGCAGGCGGAAGUAAUGAUCACUGAGCAGACAGAAUGGGCCGAGGGAAGAACGAAUUUAGAUGACGAUGAUGAUGAAGGUGACGGGGAAGAUGAUUGUGGUGGUGCUGAUAGUGGAGAUGAUAGCGAAGAAGAUGAAGAUUGGAAACCAGGUGAUCGAAAUGAACCAGAGGUUAGGAAGGAAAUGGCUAUAGUAAAAGUUAAGCGAAAGUACACCAGAAGAUCUCCGAGAAAGUCAAAGAAGGCGAAGAAAGAGUCGGGACAUGAUCCUUCGAAAGAAUACAGAAGUAAACCGAAGAAGGAGAUUGAGGAAGAAGAUAAACAAAUUCUAGAGUAUUUCAAGUUUGCAUGUGAGCUGUGCCAUGAGACGACAGUAACAUUUAUUGAGCUAAGGAAACAUUUUCGCGAAAAGCAUGAACAGAAAGGGUAUCAUCGAUGUUGCAAUAAGAAACUAUUCAAGAGAUGCCACCUUCUGGAACACAUACAAGUUCAUCUGAAUCCAAACCUGUACGGGUGUGACCUGUGUCCAAAAAGUUUCAGUUCCAAGGAAUAUCUGCAAUUGCAUAAGAUGCAAGCGCAUGCAUCGGAAGUUGAUCGACCGUUCAAAUGUGACAAGUGUCCAAAAAGCUUCAUUCAAAAAGGACAAUUGUCUUCCCAUAUGGGCCGUCAUCAGCUGUACCCGUGCACUUUGUGCGAUAAAGUGCUGGCCGGAAAGGGAUCACUGACCGCCCAUAUGGUUAACAUGCACAGCGAUAUGGGUCGAAUGAUUUGCGAUACCUGUGGGCGUGAGUUCAAAACAAAACCCUGCUUCGAUAAGCACGUUCGCAAGCACAUGGGUCUGCAGGAAGACACCAGCAUCGAGUGUCAUCUGUGUAACGUGAUUCUGCACAAUAAAGCCACCAUGAAAAAGCACAUGAUUGCAAAGCACACUCCAACGGAUGAAGUGUUUAUUUGUAAUGAGUGUGGCAAACAGGCACCGAAUAAGUUCGCUCUGGAAUCUCACAAGCGAAAGGUGCACUGCGAGGAAAAGUAUCAGUGUGAGUUUUGUGAGAAACGAUUCAAAAAUCCAAUUACACUGAAGGAGCACCGGGCGACACAUACCGGUGAGAUUCUGUACUCGUGCCCUUUCUGUGCGACCACUUUUAAUUCGAAGGCAAACAUGUAUGCCCACAAAAAGAAAGCCCAUCCGUACGAGUGGGCUCAGGAACGUAUCAGUAAGGGACAGGCCCAGCGGCAGCAGCAUCAUCAGCCGUCGCAGUGAAAUUGUGGUACAGCGUGCCAUCCGUUUCCAUAGAAGAUAUCGAUACAUUUAGCAUCGGAAAUAUAGAAAAUUGAACAGCAGAGUUGGAAAGAAAGACUCGGAAAACAUCUUAAGGCAUCAAAGAUGGUAUUUUUUUUUGACCGAAACGCAGAUUUCAAAGUGGCAUUCCUAAUCUGGUCUACA